AAUCUUCAGGGCAGGGUGAAAUUCCCGAUUGGCGGUAAAGUCCGCGAGCAUUUUUAUGCAGGAUUUGGUGAAAUUCCAAAACCAACAGUUAUAGUCUGGAUGGAAGAAGAG
rnacentral:ncRNA from 1 species